UUCCGGUUGAUCCUGCCGGGACCUGACUGCUAUCGGAUUGAUACUAAGCCAUGCGAGUCUUUGUAGUAAUACAAGGCAGACGGCUCAGUAACACGUAGUCAACCUACCCUAUGGACAAGAAUAAUCUCGGGAAACUGGGCAUAAUUCUUGAUAGAUCAUAAUGCCUGGAAUGGUUUAUGGUUAAAAUGAUUCGUCGCCAUAGGAUGGGACUGCGGCCUAUCAGCUUGUUGGUGAGGUAAUGGCCCACCAAGGCGAUUACAGGUACGGGCUCUGAGAGGAGAAGCCCGGAGAUGGGUACUGAGACAAGGACCCAGGCCCUAUGGGGCGCAGCAGGCGAGAAAACUUUGCAAUGUGCGAAAGCACGACAAGGUUAGUCCGAGUGAUUUCUGCUAAAGAAAUCUUUUGCAAGUUAUAAAACCACUAGUGAAUAAGGGGUGGGCAAGUUCUGGUGUCAGCCGCCGCGGUAAAACCAGCACCUCAAGUGGUCAGGAUGAUUAUUGGGCCUAAAGCAUCCGUAGCCUGCUCUGUUAGUUUUCGGUUAAAUCCAUGUGCUCAACACAUGGGCUGCCGAAAAUACUGCAGGGCUAGGGAGUGGGAGAGGUAGACGGUACUCAGUAGGAAGGGGUAAAAUCCUUUGAUCUAUUGAUGACCACCUGUGGCGAAGGCGGUCUACCAGAACACGUUCGACGGUGAGGGAUGAAAGCUGGGGGAGCAAACCGGAUUAGAUACCCGGGUAGUCCCAGCUGUAAACGAUGCAGACUCGAUGAUGCAUUGGCAUAUAGCCAGUGCAGUGUCGCAGGGAAGCCGUUAAGUCUGCCGCCUGGGAAGUACGUACGCAAGUAUGAAACUUAAAGGAAUUGGCGGGGGAGCACCACAAGGGGUGAAGCCUGCGGUUCAAUUGGAGUCAACGCCGGA
rnacentral:rRNA from 1 species